CUGUGAUGCCAAGCAUAAGGCUGGCUCUAAACAAUAGAGAAAACUAAAGUGAAGUCAGAAAUAAAUUCUCCUUUUGAUGUAACAGGAAAAGCCUACUGUUCAGCUUGGUAUAUCAGCCAAGAAGAGGAGACUACAAAUCAGGAUAUGAUUUAUUUGUAAAUAAAGUGUGUUUACUAAACAGGGGGGAAAAAAACAC